AGCGAACGCUGGCGGCAGGCCUAACACAUGCAAGUCGAACGAAGUCUUCGGACCCAGUGGCGGACGGGUGAGUAACACGUGGGAACGUGCCUUUAGGUUCGGAAUAACUCAGGGAAACUUGUGCUAAUACCGAAUGCGCCCUUCGGGGGAAAGAUUUAUCGGCUUUAGAGCGGCCCGAGUCUGAUUAGCUAGUUGGUGGGGUAAUGGCCCACCAAGGCUACGAUCAGUAGCUGGUCUGAGAGGAUGACCAGCCACAUUGGGACUGAGACACGGCCCAAACUCCUACGGGAGGCAGCAGUAGGGAAUCUUGCGCAAUGGGCGAAAGCCUGACGCAGCCAUGCCGCGUGGAUAAUGAAGGUCUUAGGAUUGUAAAAUCCUUUCACCGGUGAAGAUAAUGACUGUAGCCGGAGAAGAAGCCCCGGCUAACUUCGUGCCAGCCGCCGCGGUAA
rnacentral:rRNA from 1 species